ACUGCCCCUAGAGGCGUUGCAGCAUGGCCACCCUGCCACAGCUGUGUCAUUAGAGGGCAGAGAGAAGAGGGGCUAUGUCUAGGCUCAGGGGUCUGACGUGAACCACCUGACUAUGACUGCUAGCUCCACAGU